GCAGCACGUCGGGCUGCGCUCGGCCUCUCGGCCCUCACGGGGCCUGGGCUGGAGGCUGCUGCCCUUCCCCGGCUCGCAGCCACACUGUCCUGGGAGAGGUGGGAGCCAGGGCUGCAUCCCGGCCCGUCUCCCUUCAUAGUGAGCACUCUUACAAUGCCUUGGGUGCACCCAAGCUGCAGUUAGUGCAGACUGUUCUUUUUAAUCAAAGUAUUUGCUUUAAGGUCAAGAAAUUAUUUUAAAAUAACAGUAUGCUUGUAGCUGUUCACCUAAUUGAAUGUGGGAAACCCACUUAACCACCUCCCCCUGAAAUCACUGAUUUGCAAUCAUGCUGCUCUUCUUGUAGCAAUAUUUCUUUGACGGGCAUCGCUCGGAGUUUCCUGAGCACAGCUGUGCUGCUCUGGGCCAGUCGGAGCGCACAAAGGCAUUGCUUGGAAUUUCUAGCAAGCAGAUGUGCACGGUUUUCCAAGUGCAGUGCAGGACAGGUGUACGGGUGAGCCCCUACCCCAAAAAAUGAGGAAAACUGUUCACAAGAUAACUCCACAGGAGUAAGAAAUUCAUCAAAGACUUUACUGGCUGUCACCUAUGUAGAAAGUYAUGGUUGCUCUGUAAGUAAAAUGACUUUAACUAGCAGUAAUGAGUAAAAUUUAAUGGAUUUUUAGUUAAGAUAUCUAUACAAUCUAGUUCUGUUUAUGUUUGACUCACAAACAUUUUAUAUUUUGUUCAAUAGAAGCAGGUUUCUUUUGAACUCCAGCCUCCUCCUGUCUCUUUGGAAUUUACUUCAACUGACUUGCAUCAAAUGACAGGGGUUUCCAGAUACCCCUUUGGGACUGUUUCCCUGGUCCUGCUUCCCUCGGCAGACUUGCCUCCUAGUGAUAUUUAAGAUGUAAUUACACUGUUGUUGAAUGUUGAACAGCYGUGCUCUCGAAACUGCUGCUGUUCCUAUCACUGCAGAUGUGUGGGAUUUUUAAUGUGUGGCUUCCUCAGACGAUAAAGAAGUGAGAGAUCAGUCGCCAUAAACAAAGAUCUGAAGGUAUCAAUUUUGUCUUUUUGUUUUCAGAGGGUCCAUAUGGAAUAUUUGCUGGCAGAGAUGCCUCCAGGGGACUAGCAACUUUCUGUCUAGAUAAAGAUGCACUCAGAGAUGAAUAUGAUGACCUAUCGGACUUAAAUGCUGUACAGAUGGAAAGUGUUAGAGAGUGGGAAAUGCAAUUUAAAGAAAAAUACGACUACGUAGGUAGACUCCUAAAACCAGGGGAAGAACCAUCAGAAUAUACAGAUGAGGAAGAUACCAAGGAUCACACUAAACAGGAAUGAACUUUGUAAACAACCAAAGUCAGGGGCCUUCGGAACUGCAACCUCUUAUUCCCCAUCACAGAAUGUCCUGCAUCUUUGGGUACAGUUCAUCUGCUGCGAAAAACAUUCAACAGGUUUUGUACAAGGAAAAUAACAUACUCACAAGUGAAGAUUUGAAUACUAGACAUUAUUUGUGCUGCCAAACUUUUUUGUUGCAGUUUAUUUGUAAUGUCUGGUAAGGCUUCAUUGAAGAAGAGGGGCCAGGGUUUAAAGGCAAAAACGCUAUUCCUUUUUAUCAGUAAGCUGAAGCCUUCAAAUAGCAUAAACUACAAACUCUAAAGACAUGAGCCUUCCAGCUCAGUGAAAGAUUUGAAUCUUGUUUCAUGUGUGUCUUCAGCAUUAAAGAUGUGCUCACGUGCAUYAGUAUCAGUAGGUUGGGCUACUGAAACUGGUGUUAAAAUGUGAAUUUCCAAUUUUGUUUUGUAUGUGGGCCUUAGGAGCCCUGGCAGAAUACUUCAGUUCUCCAAGAGAGGUCCAUGUAGAUUAGGAUGGGGUUAAAAUGCAUCCUUUUCUCAAAAGGAUUGGGUAAAAGCAUUUCUUCUGUGGCAACUGUUAUCUGAAGCUGCCUCCUCCCCCCUGCCCUUUCCCGUCCUCUAAAUCAAAUCAAAUAUUAAUUGUGCCUUAUUUCACUUGCAUAGACUUGAAUUGUUUUAAGGGAAAGCCCCCAAAAUGUGGCUUCGCAGUCACUACAAGCAGCAUUGAGACUGAAGCUAGAAUGUUCUGUUGACUGGAAAACCUUGAUAUCAUUCUGUGUAUAGAAUGUAAAAGAGGAAUACUCAGUGUUACUGCCAUAUGUUAAUACUACAUAUACUUAAAUUUAGCAUUGUGAUGGCCAAAUGCAUACUCCCAUGCUUCUU